rnacentral:lncRNA from 1 species
ACUGCUUCUUUUCCCUCCACUUUUUCAUCUCUGGGACUGCAAAACCUCUGCUAGCACAGAUAUUAGGACAAGGCUGUCAUCAGGACUGGGGAUCCACGGCAGAAGUAUUUUGGAAAAUUGUAUGUGACCUGAAAAACCUAGCUAGAAAGGGUACCAGUUCCCCAGGUGCCAAUGGCCCAACCCAAAUCCUUCUGAGGAGCCUUCUUCAGAUGUGACUGACUUCACAUCAGCUGUUUAGAAAAACUCCAGCUUCCCAGAUGCCUGAAGCAAGAAAGAUUGAAAU